UUGGAGGGCAAGUCUGGUGCCAGCAGCCGCGGUAAUUCCAGCUCCAAUAGCGUAUAUUAAAGUUGUUGCAGUUAAAAAGCUCGUAGUUGAAUUUCGAGACCGGCUUACUGGUCGUGCUAUUGUACGUACUGGUAUAAUCGGUUUCUCCUUUCUGACGAACUAUAAUGCCAUUAAUUUGGUGUUUUAGGGAAUCAGGACUGUUACUUUGAAAAAAUUAGAGUGUUUAAAGCAGGCUCACGCUUGAAUACAUUAGCAUGGAAUAACGGAAUAGGACGUUUGAUUCUAUUUUGUUGGUUUCUAGGAUCGACGUAAUGAUUAAUAGGGAUAGUUGGGGGCAUUAGUAUUCAAUUGUCAGAGGUGAAAUUCUUGGAUUUAUUGAAGACUAACUACUGCGAAAGCAUUUGCCAAGGAUGUUUUCACUAAUCAAGAACGAAAGUUAGGGGAUCGAAGACGAUCAGAUACCGUCGUAGUCUUAACCAUAAACUAUGCCGACUAGGGAUCGGAUGGUGUUAAUUUUUUAAUGACUCAUUCGGCGCCUUACGGGAAACCAAAGUGUUUGGGUUC
rnacentral:rRNA from 1 species